GGAGAGAUGGCCGAGCGGUUUAUGGCUUCGGUCUUGAAAACCGGCAUAGUUAAUCAACACUAUCGAGGGUUCGAAUCCCUCUCUCUCCU
rnacentral:tRNA from 2 species